GCCCCCCACAAACGCCCCCAGCUCAGCUCCGUUUCCAGCUCUUUACUGCACCCUCCCCCCCUUUUGGGGCCACAUUUUGGGGUCCCCAGGUUUGGGGUUCUCCCCCAUUUCGGGGAGUCCCGAUUGCCGCAGACCCCCGAUUUUGGGGAGUCUCCGUGUGGUGAAGUUGGGAGGUCCCGAUUUUGGGGGGUCGCCCCUUUUUUGGGGUCCCCCCCAUUCCAAAUGUCCCAAAAUUCGGGGCGCUGCCUCUCCGGGAUCCUCCAAAUUUGGGGUGUCCCGGAGCUCGCGGUUCCCACACCCCAAACCCCCAAAUUUCGGGGCGCUGAUUCUCCGUCCUGUCGGGUUUUCGGGAGCCCCGCUCCUUUUCGGGGGGCCGCCUUUGGACCCUGAUUUUGGGGUGUCCGUGUGGCCGCAGCUCCCGGUCCUUUCCCAGCCCCGCGUUGGGGCUGUGUCCCAUUUUGGGGGGCCAUGCCGGUUUUUGGGGUGCCAUGUCCGGGGCCGUGCAGGUUUUUGGGGGCUGAUUUUGGGGCUGUGUCCAUUCUCAGGGCCGUGCCCAUUUUUGGGGUGCCGUUCUGGGGCUGUGUCCAUUUUGGGGGGCUGCUUUUGGGGCUGUGUCCAUUUUUGGGGCCGUAUCCAUUUUUGGGGUGCCGUUUUCGGGGCCGUAUCCAUUUUCGGGGUGCCGUUUCGGGGGCCCUGCCCGUUUUCGGGGCUGUAUCCAUUUUCGGGGUGCCGUUUUUGGGGCCGUAUCCAUUUUCGGGGUGCCGUUUUUGGGGCCCUGCCCAUUUCGGGGGGCCGUUGCGGGGCUCAGUCGUGGUACAUGCGCAGCAGGCAGGCGGUGAUGGCGGCCAUGUAGCGCUCCCAGAGCGCCUGGUGCCUGCGGGGGGGGGGGACAACUCGGGGGUCCCUCGCUUUUGGGGAGCCCCCCCGGCCCUCCAAACACCCCCAGCCCCCCCGGGCGCGUUCAGGGCUCCCCUAAUGGCGGCUGGGGGGACAUUCGGGGUUCCUGGUUUGGGGGGGUCACCCGAGGCCCGGCAGGUUCUGGGGGGAUUUGGGGGGAAUUUGGGGGGAUUUGGGGUGGUUUCAGGGGGAUUAGGGGUGGUUUUGGGGGUAUUUGGGGUGGUUUUCGGGGGUUCCAGGUUUUGGGGGCUCACCUGAA
rnacentral:lncRNA from 1 species